rnacentral:rRNA from 1 species
GUGUCAGCCGCCGCGGUAAGACGUAGGGGGCGAGCGUUGUCCGGAAUUACUGGGCGUAAAGAGCACGUAGGCGGGAACCUAAGUCAGGUGUGAAAGACCGUGGCUCAACCACGGGGUGGCAUUUGAAACUGGGUUUCUUGAGGGCAGGAGAGGAAAGCAGAAUUCCUGGUGUAGCGGUGAAAUGCGUAGAAAUCAGGAGGAAUACCAGUGGCGAAGGCGGCUUUCUGGACUGACCCUGACGCUGAGGUGCGAAAGCGUGGGUAGCAAACAGGAUUAGAUACCCUGGUAGUCCACGCCGUAAACGAUGGAUACUAGGUGUGGGAGGUAUCGACCCCUUCCGUGCCGCAGCUAACGCAAUAAGUAUCCCGCCUGGGGAGUACGGUCGCAAGGCUGAAACUCAAAGAAAUUGACGG